UACGUAGGGCGCGAGCGUUGUCCGGAAUUACUGGGCGUAAAGGGCGCGUAGGCGGUUCGCUAAGUUGAAUGUGAAAACUCUGGGCUUAACCCAGAGCCUGCAUCCAAAACUGGCGAACUGGAGUACUGGAGGGGAAAGCGGAAUUCCUGGUGUAGCGGUGAAAUGCGUAGAUAUCAGGAGGAACACCGGUGGCGAAGGCGGCUUUCUGGACAGUAACUGACGCUGAGGCGCGAAAGCCGGGGGAGCAAACAGG
rnacentral:rRNA from 1 species